CCCCCGAUGGUCUAGUUGGAUAUGGCGUCCGGCUGUAAACCGGAAGGUCGCCGGCUCGAUUCCGGCUCGGGGGA
rnacentral:tRNA from 1 species